UGCUAUGAUGUUGAGAUCAAAUAAUCUCGUUAAUCUGAUCUACUUCUUUCAUGAGGAUAACUAUUCUUAUCCAUUCACUAUUCUUUCUGAGC